GUGCUUGCUUCGGCAGCACAUAUACUAAAACUGGAACCAUACAGAGAAGAUUAGCAUGGCCCCUGCGCAAGGAUGACACACAAAUUAAUGAAUUGUUCCAUAUUUUU